UACGGAGGGUGCGAGCGUUGUCCGGAAUCACUGGGCGUAAAGGGCGCGUAGGUGGCGCGGCAAGUCAACGGUGAAAGCUCGACGCUCAACGUCGAGUCGGCCGUCGAUACUGCUGGGCUUGAGCACUGUAGAGGCAGAUGGAAUUCCGGGUGUAUCGGUGGAAUGCGUAGAGAUCCGGAAGAACACCGGUGGCGAAGGCGGUCUGCUGGGGUCGAACUGACGCUGAGGCGCGACAGCGUGGGGAGCAAACAGG
rnacentral:rRNA from 1 species